rnacentral:rRNA from 1 species
AGAGUUUGAUCAUGGCUCAGAACGAACGCUGGCGGCAUGCCUAACACAUGCAAGUCGAACGAGACCUUCGGGUCUAGUGGCGCACGGGUGCGUAACGCGUGGGAAUCUGCCCUUGGGUUCGGGUUAACAGUUGGAAACGACUGCUAAUACCGGAUGAUGACUUCGGUCCAAAGAUUUAUCGCCCAGGGAUGAGCCCGCGUAGGAUUAGCUAGUUGGUGAGGUAAAGGCUCACCAAGGCGACGAUCCUUAGCUGGUCUGAGAGGAUGAUCAGCCACACUGGGACUGAGACACGGCCCAGACUCCUACGGGAGGCAGCAGUGGGGAAUAUUGGACAAUGGGCGAAAGCCUGAUCCAGCAAUGCCGCGUGAGUGAUGAAGGCCUUAGGGUUGUAAAGCUCUUUUACCCGGGAUGAUAAUGACAGUACCGGGAGAAUAAGCCCCGGCUAACUCCGUGCCAGCAGCCGCGGUAAUAC